rnacentral:tRNA from 1 species
GCGGGCGUGGCGAAACCGGUAGACGCAGCGGACUUAAAAUCCGCUUCCCCACGGGAGUGCGGGUUCGAGUCCCGCCGUCCGCACCA